AAAGGUUAAACUUGUGUUUUGAACUUGAACAGAUUUUACAAUACGGUAUUUAGGCUUUAUGGUCCCUUCAUGGUUCAUUAGACAAAAUACCUCGCGGCUUUUUUUUGGGCACUAUGAUUCGGUGGAAUAGUUCUAUUGUUCUAAUUUGUGAACACUUUUAUCAUGAGGGAAUUCAUUUUGAAUUACUAGUUUCACUGAAGUGGCUGUCGGAAAGUCUCUUGCUUAAGACGGAUGGAGCCAAGAUGAACAUGCAUACAGUCCUAGACCCGAAGGAAGACAAUUUCAUUAUAGUUGCCAGAUAAGAUGAUGUGGCGUCCAAGGAUCCGACAGGCAGGUAUGUUAAGAUAAGAUUGUGUAUAUUUUUGUACGCCUUUUUGUCCUAUUUCCUCUAGGUGGCCUCCCAAGGAUCAGAACAGCAGGUAUGUUAAGAUAAGAUUGUGUAUAUGUUUGUAUGCCUUUUUGUCCUAUUUCCUCUAGGUGGCAGUCCAAGGAUUGAAAGUGAAGGUAUGUUAAGAUAAGAUUGUGUUUAUAUUUGUAUGCCUUUUUGUCCAAGUUUCCUUUAGUUGGCAGUCCAAGGAUUGAAAGUGAAGGUAUGUUAAGAUAAGAUUGUGUUUAUAUUUGUAUGCCUUUUUGUCCAAGUUUCCUUUAGUUGGCAGUCCAAGGAUUGGAAGUGAAGGUAUGUUAAGAUAAGAUUGUGUUCAUAUUUGUAUGCCUUUUUGUCCAAGUUUCCUCUAGGUGGCAGUCCAAGAAUUGGAUGGGCAGGUAUGUUAAAAUAAGAUUGUGUUCAUAUUUGUAUGCCUUUUUGUCCAAGUUUCCUCUAGGUGGCAGUCCAAGGAUUGGAAGUGAAGGUAUGUUAAGAUAAGAUUGUGUUUAUAUUUGUAUGCCAUUUUGUCCAAGUUUCCUUUAGUUGGCAGUCCAAGGAUUGGAAGUAAAGGUAUGUUUAGAUAAGAUUGUGUUUAUAUUUGUAUGCCAUUUUGUCCAAGUUUCCUUUAGUUGGCAGUCCAAGGAUUGGAAGUAAAGGUAUGUUAAGAUAAGAUUGUGUGCAUGUUUGAAUGUCUUUUUGUCCUAGUUUCUUCUAGGUGGCGGUCCAAGGAUUGGAAGUGAAGGUAUGUUAAGAUAAGAUUGUGUUCAUAUUUGUAUGCCUUUUUGUCCAAGUUUCCUCUAGGUGGCAGUCCAAGAAUUGGAUGGGCAGGUAUGUUAAGAUAGGAUUGUGUUCAUAUUUGUAUGCCUUUUUGUCCAACUUUCCUCUAGGUGGCAGUCCAAGGAUUGGAAGUGAAGGUAUGUUAAGAUAAGAUUGUGUUCAUAUUUGUAUGCCUUUUUGUCCAAGUUUCCUCUAGGUGGCCGUCCAAGAAUUGGAUGGGCAGGUAUGUUAAGAUAGGAUUGUGUUCAUAUUUGUAUGCCUUUUUGUCCAAGUUUCCUCUAGGUGGCGUCAAAGAAUCGGAAGUAAAGUUAUGUUAAGAUAAGAUUGUGUUCAUAUUUGUAUGCCUUUUUGUCCCAAGUUUCCUCUAGGUGGCAGUCCAAGGAUUGGAAGUGAAGGUAUGUUAAGAUAAGAUUGUGUUCAUAUUUGUAUGCCUUUUUGUCCAAGUUUCCUUUAGGUUGCAGUCCAAGGAUUGGAAGUGAAGGUAUGUUAAGAUAAGAUUGUGUUCAUAUUUGUAUGCCUUUUUGUCCAAGUUUCCUUUAGGUGGCAGUCCAAGGAUUGGAAGUGAAGGUAUGUUAAGAUAAGAUUGUGUUCAUAUUUGUAUGCCUUUUUGUCCAAGUUUCCUCUAGGUGGCAGUCCAAGAAUUGGAUUGGCAGGUAUGUUAAGAUAAGAUUGUGUUCAUAUUUGUAUGCCUUUUUGUCCAAGUUUCCUCUAGGUGGCAGUCCAAGGAUUGGAAGUGAAGGUAUGUUAAUAUAAGAUUGUGUUCAUAUUUGUAUGCCUUUUUGUCCAAGUUUCCUUUAGGUGGCAUUCCAAGGAUUGGUAGUGAAGGUAUGUUAAGAUAAGAUUGUGUUCAUAUUUGUAUGCCUUUUUGUCCAAGUUUCCUUUAGGUUGCAGUCCAAGGAUUGGAAGUGAAGGUAU